rnacentral:rRNA from 1 species
GAUGAACGCUGGCGGCGUGCCUAAUACAUGCAAGUCGAGCGAACAGACGAGGAGCUUGCUCCUUUGACGUUAGCGGCGGACGGGUGAGUAACACGUGGGUAACCUACCUAUAAGACUGGGAUAACUUCGGGAAACCGGAGCUAAUACCGGAUAAUAUUUCGAACCGCAUGGUUCGAUAGUGAAAGAUGGCUUUGCUAUCACUUAUAGAUGGACCUGCGCCGUAUUAGCUAGUUGGUAAGGUAACGGCUUACCAAGGCAACGAUACGUAGCCGACCUGAGAGGGUGAUCAGCCACACUGGAACUGAGACACGGUCCAGACUCCUACGGGAGGCAGCAGUAGGGAAUCUUCCACAAUGGGCGAAAGCCUGACGGAGCAACGCCGCGUGAGUGAUGAAGGUCUUCGGAUCGUAAAACUCUGUUAUUAGGGAAGAAUAAACGUGUAAGUAACUGUGCACGUCUUGACGGUACCUAAUCAGAAAGCCACGGCUAACUACGUG